CAGCCCAUUAACGUCCCCACUGCUGGGGCACGGGCCUUCCCUAUGGAUGGAUAGGGAGAUCGGGCCUUAAACCACCACGCGGGCCCAGUGCGGAUUGAUGGUUAUUAACGACUGCUAAUGCAGCCGGGACCAACGGCUUAACGUGCCUUCCGAAGCACGGAGGAGCUCGAGAUGAAAACUUUUUUGUGGUCACCCAUCCUAUGACCGGCCUUUGCGAAAGUUGCUUAACUUCAACAAUCGCAGACCGAGCGCGUUUACCGCUGCGCCACCGAGCUCCUCAAUUUGAUCUAUUGAUCAUUUAUAUCAACUGUAAUUUUCUUGGCACGUCCACUAUCAAACCAGAGGUGACAGCUAGGUCAAUCCCCGAUCGUUUUUAGGGUCUGUGAAGACCUUUUUUCUCGGGAAUACAUGGAGAUAUCAAAUUGAAAUUGACAUCUCGAUAAUACUUAAGUUUGCGGUCACUUGAA